UGACCACUCACGCCCUGUGCGUGGACUUGGGGUUCGCGAUCUCGCGUCCCUUAAAACCAGUGGCGGUGCCGUUGGGCUCUAAGCGUAGUAAUUCUUCUCGCUACAGGGUCUUGCGGUUGCUUGCCAUAACCCCAACUUUCUUA
rnacentral:misc_RNA from 1 species